AACGCACCUUGCACUCCUUGGUAUUCCGAGGAGUAUGCCUGUUUGAGUGUCAUGAAAUUCUCAACUUCAUUAGUUUUGUUACUAGUUGAAGCUUGGAUUUGGAAGCUUGCUGGCUCAAUUUUUUUGUAGUCGGCUCUUCUUAAAUGCAUUAGCUGCCUGUCCUGUGGGUUGGCUCAGAGUGUGAUAAGUAUCUACACUUGGUGGCUGCCUGCAUUGGAUGCGGCUUCUAAUCGUCCUCUGAGGGGGACAAGUAUUUUAUGAUCUGACCUCAAAUCAGGUAGGACUACCCGCUGAACUUAA
rnacentral:misc_RNA from 1 species